AUUACUGAACGAAAUGGGUGGCAAGGCUGUCGCUGGCUCAAUGAGCAUGUGCACGUCUUUUGCUGCUUGCUUCAUUCUCUUUUCCACCUGUGCACACUUUGUAAACACUCAGGAUAGCCUGAGAGAGGGUUGGCAUUGAUUGUUGACCUCUCUUGGUAUUGAAAAGUCUGGGUGUUUAUGUAUUUUUCCACAUACACAAUUGAAUGUCUAUAGAAUGUAAUGUAGGCUUUUGUGAGCCUUUAAAUGAUAAAAUACAACUUUCAACAACGGAUCUCUUGGCUCUCGCAUCGAUGAAGAACGCAGCGAAAUGCGAUAAGUAAUGUGAAUUGCAGAAUUCAGUGAAUCAUCGAAUCUUUGAACGCAUCUUGCGCUCCUUGGUAUUCCGAGAGCAUGCCUGUUUGAGUGUCAUUAAAUAUCUCAAAAAGCUUGUGCUUUUUUAGGCAUGGUUGUUUUUGGACGUUGGGAGUUGCCGGCUGCUGAAAAAGUGGUGGCUCUUCUGAAAAGCAUUAGUUGAGGAGCUUUGCACUCUAUUGUGUGAUAGACUAUCUAUGCAGGAUAUGCUUCAUGAUCCUCUGCC
rnacentral:rRNA from 1 species